GAUGAACGCUGGCGGCGUGCUUAACACAUGCAAGUCGAACGAAGCACCUUGAUUUGAUUCUUCGGAUGAAGAUCUUGGUGACUGAGUGGCGGACGGGUGAGUAACGCGUGGGUAACCUGCCUCAUACAGGGGGAUAACAGUUAGAAAUGACUGCUAAUACCGCAUAGGCCACCGCCCCGCAUUGUGCAGGGGUUAAAACUCCGGUGGUAUGAGAUGGACCCGCGUCUGAUUAGGUAGUUGGUGGGGUAACGGCCUACCAAGCCGACGAUCAGUAGCCGACCUGAGAGGGUGACCGGCCACAUUGGGACUGAGACACGGCCCAAACUCCUACGGGAGGCAGCAGUGGGGAAUAUUGCACAAUGGGGGAAACCCUGAUGCAGCGACGCCGCGUGAGCGAUGAAGUAUUUCGGUAUGUAAAGCUCUAUCAGCAGGGAAGAAAAUGACGGUACCUGACUAAGAAGCACCGGCUAAAUACGUG
rnacentral:rRNA from 1 species